UUUAAUUGAGUAAUUUUUUUAUUUUAAUUAAAAUUAUAUUUUAUUAUUUUUUGUUUUGUAUUUGAUAUAGUUAAAUUUUUUAAUUAAUGAUUUUAUUAAUGUGAAUGGACUUAAUUAAUAAUAAUUUAAGUAUAAUUGUUUUUUUGUACCUUUUGUAUCAGGGGAUAUUUAAUAUUAAAUUUAUUUAUAAUAUUUCUCGAAAGAUUAAGAGUUAUAAAUUUAUGUAAGGUUAAUGUUUCAUAAUUAUCUUAAAUAAAAUUAUAGAGGUGAUAUGUUAUUAGAUUUUUCUGAUAUCUAGUUUUUACUUAUUUAAUUUAAUUAAUUGCUUAGUUAAAAAUAAUUGUUAAAUAUUAAUAUUUUUAUUUACUAGGUAAAUAGGUCUUUGGGUUUGAACUCUAAGAUUAAUUAAAAUUGAUUUGAUAUAUAUAUAUAUAUAUAUAUAUAUUUACAAAUAAAAUUUUUGAUGAUUUAAGAUAAUUUAAUAAUUUAUUAUAUAAAUAAUAAUUAUUGAUUUCUUGUUUGUUAAUUUAAUUUGUUUAUGUAAAUUAUUUGUUUAAUUAUAUUAUAAAUGGAAUAAUGGUAGUAUAAGUAUAAUAUGAUUAUGUAAAAAAUAUAAUUGUUUAAUAUAUUUUAAUUAUAUGAAUUAGGCAAAUGAUUGGGUCCGUAUGUUUAUCAAAAACAUAUUCUUUUGUUUUAUAAUUUAAGAUGGGCUCUGCUCAAUGAUAUUUAAAUAGCCGCAGUAAUCUAACUGUGCAAAGGUAGCAUAAUAAAUUGCCUUUUAAUUAGAGGCUGGAAUGAAUGAGUUGAUGAGAUUCAUACUUUAUUUAAUUAUUUUUUUAUAAAUUAAAUUUUCAGUAAAAAUGCUGAGAUUAAUUAAUGGGACGAGAAGACCCUAUAGAAUUUUAUAGGUUUUAUUUUUAUUUUUUCUGAACUUAUUAUAAAUAUAAAAACUUAUUUAGUUGGGAGGACUUUUAAAUUAAUUAAACUUUAAAUUUUUAUGACAUUAAUUAGUGGGUUUAAAAGAUUAUAAUUAGUUAUUUAAGAAUUAAUUACCUUAGGGAUAACAGCGUAAUACUUUUGGAUAGUUCAUAUUAAUAGAAGUGUUUGCGACCUCGAUGUUGAAUUAAGAAUUUAAAUUAUAAGAAGAAUUAUAAUUUAUAAGUCUGUUCGACUUGUCAUAUCUUACAUGAUUUGAGUUCAGAUCGGCGUGAGCCAGAUCGGUUUCUAUCUAUUUAAAGGUAAAAUAAUUUUUGUACGAAAGGACUUGAUUAUUUAAAU
rnacentral:rRNA from 1 species